GAAAAAGGACAACUUUGAAAGCAUUAACCAAGAAUUUGAGGUUCUCAGUCUUUUUAUAGACUGCCUACAGGCAGCCUCAGAAUGGGAGAGAGGUUGGAACCCCUUUCAUGCAUGUUGGCAGCAGCUGUUACCUUAUUGCUCCCAGAGGCCUAAAAUGUCUAAUUUUGGUGUAUACACAUUUUAUUUAAAAUCUUAAGCAGAUGAUGGGAUAAAGCCACAUAUAAAUGAACCUAUCAACGUAUCAGAUCAGUCUACUUCCUCAUUGAUAUUCAAAAAUGUUCAAACAGUGAACAGACUUCUAAUCCAUUGGAAACAUCCUUCAUGGAGUAAAUUUGGGAGGACCUGGAGAGUAUGAGAAAAUAAAGCCUAGAAGCUUUUCA
rnacentral:lncRNA from 1 species